CGAACAACGUGACUACUAGUCGGGUACUUACACCAUAGCUGAUAAGAAUGACCAUAGUAUCCAUUUUUCAUCAUAUAUAUUACCUCCUGAAAUCCUGAACUAACCUAACGGAGGAAUCUUUGGAGAAACCGCCUAUUAGGGGUGAUUUUUAAUCGCCCGGUUUUCACGUGCAUUUUUAUUUUUAAAACUAUUAUAAACUAUCACCGCGAUUUUUUGUCCUCCGUUUUUCCACUUUUCAUUUAUUCCCGAUCUGGAACUCCAUAAACUCGCCGUUAUCUUAUACUCGUGUACGGAUGGCGCAUUUAUUGCCGUAUUACAAUUCGUUAGGUCAUGAUGUUGUCCGA